rnacentral:rRNA from 1 species
UCGGGAAUUUUGGGCAAUGGGCGAAAGCCUGACCCAGCAACGCCGCGUGAAGGAUGAAGUAUUUCGGUAUGUAAACUUCGAAAGAAUAGGAAGAAUAAAUGACGGUACUAUUUGUAAGGUCCGGCUAACUACGUGCCAGCAGCCGCGGUAAUACGUAGGGACCAAGCGUUGUUCGGAUUUACUGGGCGUAAAGGGCGCGUAGGCGGUUUGUCAAGUCAGUUGUGAAAUCUCCGAGCUUAACUCGGAACGGUCAACUGAUACUGUCAAACUAGAGUACAGAAGGGGCAAUCGGAAUUCUUGGUGUAGCGGUGAAAUGCGUAGAUAUCAAGAGGAACACCUGAGGCGAAGGCGGGUUGCUGGGCUGAUACUGACGCUGAAGCGCGAAAGCUAGGGUAGCAAACGGGAUUAGAUACCCCUGUAGUCCCUGAGCGGGCUGGCAAGGCGCAU